rnacentral:rRNA from 1 species
UACAGAGAGUGCGAACGUUGUUCGGAAUUACUGGGCUUGAAGCGCACGUAGGCGGCACCGCAAGUGUGGAGUGAAAUCCCACGGCUUACCCGUGGAACUGCUUGGCAGACUGCGGUGCUAGAGGAUGGUAGGGGAGAGCGGAACUCCUGGUGGAGCGGUGAAAUGCGUAGAUAUCAGGAGGAACACCGGUGGCGAAGGCGGCUCUCUGGUCCAUUACUGACGCUGAGGUGCGAAAGCUAGGGGAGCAAACGGG